GACGAACCGUCCAAACGUUAUUCGGAAUUAUUGGGCUUAAAGGGUGCGUAGGCGGCGCGGAAAGUUGGAUGUGAAAGCCCUCGGCUCAACCGAGGAAUUGCGUUCAAUACUACCGUGCUCGAGGGAGACAGAGGUGAGCGGAACUACGGGUGGAGCGGUGAAAUGCGUAGAUAUCCGUAGGAACACCGGUGGCGAAAGCGGCUCACUGGGUCUCUUCUGACGCUGAGGCACGAAAGCAUGGGGAGCGAACAGG
rnacentral:misc_RNA from 1 species